CACCUGAUGGCACAAGGUGUGCAUCUGCAGGAUAUGUAGGGAUUUCUAUAUUGAUAUGCAGAAGGUCUUCGUUCGAUUCGGGGUCGGGUGA